rfam:Streptomyces sp. MP131-18 scaf_01, whole genome shotgun sequence.
UCGGCCCCGGUUCACGGCGCGCAGCCCGCGCGUCGACCCGGCGCC